rnacentral:rRNA from 1 species
UUAGCAUUUCAAUAGGCUACCAAUAGGCCGGCAUUGAAGUUCACUCUGGCAAACAACACGAUCCUUUGGUUGUGUAUAUUGCCUUGUGAGCGUGUCGUUUUCUGAUGUAGCUGCCUGAUGGUUUUUAAAGAUCACAUCAUUGAUAUUUAUAUCACCCGAUUUCGAUUGGGCAAUUUGGAUGUGUAUCCGAUCAACAACGCUCUCAUUUGGGAUACCUUUGGGACCCGUCUUGAAACACGGACCAAGGAGUCUAUCUAGUAUGCGAGUAAAUGGGCCAUGAAAACCUAUUUGCGUAAAUAACUUGACUGUAAUUUAAUGGGAUUACGUGUAUAUUUUACUUUUACGAGUGUAUGCACCUCCAUCCCGGAGUAUUUUCAUCACAUUUGCUAGCAAUAGUAAAUAGAAAAUAUAUCAUGAGCAUACUGGACAUGACCCGAAAGAUGGUGAACUAUGCCUGAUCAGGUUGAAGUCAGGGGAAACCCUGAUGGAGGACCGAAGCAAUUCUGACGUGCAAAUCG